GGAGGCGCUCAAAGGUUCCCUCAGAAUGGUUGGAAAUCAUUCGCAGAGUGUAAAGGCACAAGGGAGCUUGACUGCGAGACCUACAAGUCGAGCAGGGUCGAAAGACGGACUUAGUGAUCCGGUGGUUCCGCAUGGAAGGGCCAUCGCUCAACGGAUAAAAGCUACCCCGGGGAUAACAGGCUUAUCUCCCCCAAGAGUUCACAUCGACGGGGAGGUUUGGCACCUCGAUGUCGGCUCAUCGCAUCCUGGGGCUGUAGUCGGUCCCAAGGGUUGGGCUGUUCGCCCAUUAAAGCGGUACGCGAGCUGGGUUCAGAACGUCGUGAGACAGUUCGGUCCCUAUCCGUCGUGGGCGUAGGAAAUUUGAGAGGAGCUGUCCUUAGUACGAGAGGACCGGGAUGGACAUACCUCUGGUGUACCAGUUGUCGCGCCAGCGGCAUAGCUGGGUAGCUAUGUAUGGACGGGAUAAGUGCUGAAAGCAUCUAAGCAUGAAGCCCCCCUCAAGAUGAGAUUUCCCAACUUCGGUUAUAAGAUCCCUCAAAGAUGAUGAGGUUAAUAGGUUCGGGGUGUAAGCGCAGUAAUGUGUGUAGCUGACGAAUACUAAUCGAUCGAAGACUUAAUCAAAUU
rnacentral:rRNA from 1 species